UGGCAUAUCUGAAAUGAUUACUGGCACAACAUUCCCCAGUUUCAUGUAUAAGUACAGAUUUGCACAUGGGCCAUAGCCCCAAAUGUGUCAGCCAGUCCGCACCAUGUUUAGGCCAGCAAUAAUCCAUCUCUUCCCUUGGAACACUGGGGGGAGAGCUGCUUCAUCUGGGUCUCCAAGACGUGGCCUUUGGGGAGGUGUUGCUUUGGUUCUUGGCCCUGCUACUACUGCCACUGUCAUUACUGAGACCUUGAUUGUUGGCUUUCUCACUGCUUCUAUUCUCUGCCCCUUCUGUCCUGUCCCCUCUUUCUCCCUCACAUUUGGGGAAAGAGGCCUGGCUGCAUUUACUUUGAGGACCCAGCACUGGGAACAUCAUCCCAAACUCUGACAGAGAAGCGGGGCUGGGCAGAUCCAGGCUGCCAGGCCUUGUGACUGCAGGGAACUAGUCUGGUAGCUCAGAUGGGUGUCUCCUUCCUGAAGAAAAGCUGAACCCAGAGCGGGUUUCUGAGUCACCUUCAGACACUAAGCUGCUACAGUUGUCACCUUCAAAGGCCUUCAAGGCCACAGAAACAGCAACCAAUAGCCAUAUUCCUAUUGUUCCUUCUUGAAAGUCACUGAUCAGGUGUCACUCUCGAAAGUAAAAUGAAUCAGCUAAAAACUUGUUAAUUCAUGUUUGCAUUCUAGGACCUGUGGUCCCUAAAAACAACACCAUUACUAACUUUCCAAUAGAGCAGCCCUGGCAUUUAUUCUCCUACUGUCAUCGCUCUAAAUGCUUCUGUGAAGCAGGUUUUCAUGGGUGGGGGUGUGGCUUGGUGGUAGAGCAUGUGCUUAGCGUGUGCGAGGGCCUGGGCUGGAUUCCCAGCAACCCAGCCCCUCCCAAUGUAACAGUGGCCCACUUCAUGCUUUGAAUAUGGCCCUUGCUGCAGUGCCCCUGAGGCUUAUCUUAAAGUGGAUUUUUUUUCCUUUUUUCCCUCCCCCAAAUGAACAAAUGAAUCACAAUCCCCUUACAAGGACACCUAGAAUAAAGCCUUUGAACGGCUUCUUUAAAAACCUCUGUUCUCUCUUAUGAGAGAAUUACAGCUUCUGGGACAGGAGUUCCCUGUGCUUCUCCCUAGCUAGCAAAGCAAUAAACCUCCUUUUUCCAUUUUCUCCAAACCAUGUCCUUGUUAUUGAAUUGGCUUUGGGGAGAAAGGACCAAGAUUUUAAUAGUACUGAAGACAGAAUUAGGCAGUCAGUGUAGAUAGGCAAAUCAAGUCAGGUCAGAUCAAGGAGGUCAAUUUUGAGUGAUUUCUGGGAAGUUGGAGACUGUCCCCCAAGGGAUUGAAAUGUUAAUUCCUUCAGAGCCCUCCUCCACCUUUAUCUAGAACCUGCCUCUGCUCCAAACUAUUGCUAAGGGAACCUGUCCCAGGAAUUGCCCCUCCCUAAAGGGAGCUAUAAAGUUGUUAAUUAAUGGGUCCUGGGCUGCAUCAUGUUCCCUCUUCAGCCCACCUGUUUCUCAUCUUUGGCCAUCCCACUGAGCAUACCUGGGCAUUCCUGGGCCUAGUCAUGUAUGCGGAAGGAGAAAAUAAGAGGGGUGGGGGGGGAAAGCAGGAGAACAAAGGAAGCCUAGGACAAAUAAAAAAGGCAGAACACCUGGCUUCUGGGGAUACCAGGAUACCAGCGAUGGCCCCUUUCUCCCUCCCGGGAGAAGUCUAUGUUACUCCAUUUUAAAUAAACCCUGCUUUAUAUGCUUGCCUCGACGUGCUUCUCUAAUGUUCAGACUUUAACAUUUGAGGGAGCAGAACUCGUCAUUGGUAACUGGCAGUAUCAACACCACAAAAACAUAACUCCACCAAAAUUUUGUGAUAGCAAAAGAUAUUGCAGUGUGCCUCAUUGUGCAUGUGUGAGAGCAGGUCACACACACAAGCUUCAGCCAUGUCAUUGUUUGGAGCUUUUGAACCAAAUUCCUCUCCUUAGGCAUAGAUAGCUUUCCUAUUUGCUCCCAGGGACUUUAUUCUGAUACCACCAGUUAUGGAUGAGGAGUUCUGCUUCCCCACAUGUUGAAGUCUGAACAUUAGAGAAGCAUGCUGAGGCAAGUAUAGAAAGCAGGGUUCAUUUAAAAAAUAUUAAUACAGACUUCUCCCCUGGAGGGAGAAGGGGCCAUAGCUGGUAUCCUGGUAUGCCAAGAAGUGAGAGUGUCCUGCUUCUUGUAUACAUCCUAGACUUUUGUUUUGUUUUGUUUUGUUUUUCUGCCUUCUACCCCCUUAUCUCUCUCCUUCCUGCUUGGCCCAGGUGGGAUGGCCAAUAGAUGAGAAGCAGAUGGGCUGGAGGGGCCAAGGUGGAGUGAUCCAGGCAGGAAGCAGCCCAGGAGACAGUAAUGAACAACUUUUACAACUCCUGUAGGGAGGGGCAAUUCCUGGGACAGGUUACCCUAGCAACAGGUUGGAGCAGGAGCAGGGGCAGGUUCUUGGUAAGGGUGGACAACGGAAAGUCCACAACUUCCUGAGCUCAAAAUUGGCCUCCUUGAUCCAACCUGACUCGAUUUACCUAUCUAUACUGACUGCCUGUGAACUGCUCUUUUUCUCUGGCAGAUUUUAGAACUUUUCUUUGCUGUCACUUAAAAUUUCAUGCCUUUUUAGUUUUCAUUUAAUUUUUUCAACAAUGCCCACUUCAUAAUCUCUGAGUCUUUUCACUCUCUUUCUAUUAUUUUAUAUUUUAAAGCUACAAAACUUUCCCUAUUAUCUCUUUAAAUAGUUCCUUCUAUUUUUAUUUUUUCCGUUUUUGAAAAUGCUAUUAUCUAGAUAUUGAUAAUUAUAUUUCAAUUCUCUUAUCUCUUAAUUUUAUUUUUGUGUUUCUAUUUUUUUGUCUUUCCCUGUUCCUUUCUAUGUUUUUCAGUGUGCUAAUUCAUUAAGCAGUUGUGCCCAUCCAAUUUAUUCCAUCUAUUAGGUCUUUAUUUCUUGGUUACUUGGCCCUUUUUAAAAUUGAUUUGCUACUGCUUUUCUGCUAAUAACCUCCCUUAGAUUUGCAAAAUGACCAAGUAAUUUCAAAUUCAAUUUAUAAACAUGCUUUUUGCCUUUUUUCUUUUUCUUUUCUUUUUUUUUUAACACCAAAAUAUAGGCAAUGCAAGGAUAUAGCUGUAGUACUUAUUAUGAUGUGAACUAGGGCUUGCAAAGUAACAAAGUUUAGGGUCUCCAGGAAAUCAAAAGGCUUCUGCCUCUAAAACAGGCAGAACUUCAAAAGGGCUAAUUAAAUAAAAACUGGGGUGUGAAGAUGGCCUUAGGCUUGAGCCUAAGCAACUCCAUUUAAAAAACUCCAUUUUGAAACAGGUAGUUUUAUCAGGCACACCCAUAGAGUGCUCCAGUUUGGCCUCAAACAAGUUACUUAUUUCCCAGACUAGAUAUAUCUGAUCCCAGGGUAAAUUAUGUCAUGGAGAAAUCCAGUGGUAGCUGGUAAGAAUUGAAAGGGGGGUCAAAAGCCCCCAAACUUAGUAUAAAUAAUAGAGCUAAUGAAUAGUGGAUUUAGCAAGCCAAAACAAGGCUGCCCUCUGAUGCACUGGAGCUGGAGAGCCUGAUGAGGACCUGACAUCCCAUCACUUGUCAUUGUUUCCUGAUCCUCUGAGAUCCUGAGAUCCUCACCACUCUCAAACUCUACCUCCUCUGCUGGACCUUGAUGAGAGAGCCACAACACUUCUCCCUCCGACCCUCUCCUCAACUAGUCUUCCAGUUCAUGCCAGGAAAGGCCUGCCUUGAUUCCAGACCUGGUCACCGCAGUCUAAAUCGCCUUCCUGUGGGGCAUCUCGCGCUGCUGCCUGGAGCGAGCUGCUCCUGCACUUGCUUCAACGUCUCAACUGCAGUUACACAGACGGGCUCCAUGACACUGGAGCCAUGUUACUUCUUGUGGUGCUUCUCACCGGACUUGGUGGGCUGCACGCAGGCCGCAAGUCGCACAAAAGCUUUCUUCACACCACUGUUCCUGAAAGGAUUUCAUCAACAGAUGCAAAACACGAUCGAGAAAAUAGAGUAAUUGGGGAUUAUAUAAUUAUUAUAUCAUAUUAUUAUAUAUGCAAAUUUAAUUUAUAUUUUAGUUACACAUUAGGAUUCAUUUGACAUAAUUAUAAAAGCAUGGAAUAUAAUUUACUUGAAUUAUAAGAGGUCUCAGUAAUAGACAAAGUAUUUCUACUUUUUCUUCCCUCUCCUCUUUCCCCCUGUUCCCUUCCCUGUACU